rnacentral:rRNA from 1 species
UUUGGAAUCUUGCCCAAUGGGGGAAACCCUGAGGCAGCGACGCCGCGUGGAGGAUGAAGGAUCUAGGUCUGUAAACUCCUUUUAUCGGGAAAGACUUAGGACGGUACCCGAUGAAUAAGCUCCGGCUAACUCCGUGCCAGCAGCCGCGGUAAGACGGAGGGAGCUAGCGUUACUCGGAAUCACUGGGCGUAAAGGGCGUGUAGGCGGAUUGGAAAGUCAGGCGUGAAAUACCUCGGCUCAACCGAGGAAUUGCGUCUGAAACUUCCUUUCUUGAGUGUGGGAGGGGGGAGUGGAACUCCUGGUGGAGCGGUGAAAUGCGUAGAUAUCAGGAGGAACGCCGGUGGCGAAAGCGGCUCUCUGGUCCACUACUGACGCUGAGGCGCGAAAGCCAGGGGAGCAAACG